AUUGCUCACUCUCCCUCAAGGUCUUCCGUAUUUCGCCUGCUUUGGCGAUGGAGUUUUGUCCGGAUCCUCGGGGUGUGCUAAAAUCCUUGCAUACUGGUCAUUGAUUUCUCGCUUUUUCGUGGCGGAAACUGAGGUCCUUGGGGAGAGUGGAUAA
rnacentral:pre_miRNA from 1 species